rnacentral:rRNA from 1 species
GACGAACGCUGGCGGCGUGCUUAACACAUGCAAGUCGAACGGGAUGGCGAACGGGUGAGUAACACGUGAGUAACCUGCCUUUUUCUUUGGGAUAACGCUCAGAAAUGGGUGCUAAUACUGGAUGGAGGGAGAUGGGCUCGCGGCUUAUCAGCUUGUUGGUGGGGUGAUGGCUUACCAAGGCUUUGACGGGUAGCCGGCCUGAGAGGGUGGGCGGUCACAUUGGGACUGAGAUACGGCCCAGACUCCUACGGGAGGCAGCAGUGGGGAAUUUUGCACAAUGGGGGGAACCUUGAUGCAGCGACGCCGCGUGAGGGAUGGAGGCCUUCGGGUUGUGAACCUCUUUCGCUCGUGUGCGUGUAGCGGGUAAAGAAGCGCCGGCUAACUACGUGCCAGCAGCCGCGGUAAUUC